rnacentral:rRNA from 1 species
AUACGGAGGGUCCAAGCGUUAUCCGGAAUCAUUGGGUUUAAAGGGUCCGCAGGCGGUCAAUUAAGUCAGAGGUGAAAGCCCAUCGCUCAACGAUAGAACUGCCUUUGAUACUGGUUGACUUGAGUUAUACGGAAGUAGAUAGAAUAAGUAGUGUAGCGGUGAAAAGCAUAGAUAUUACUUAGAAUACCGAUUGCGAAGGCAGUCUACUACGUAUAUACUGACGCUGAGGGACGAAAGCGUGGGGAGCGAACAGGAUUAGAAACCCUGGUAGUCC